rnacentral:rRNA from 1 species
GCUUGUCUCAAAGAUUAAGCCAUGCAUGUCUAAGUAUAACUCUUUUACUUUGAAAACUGCGAACGGCUCAUUAUAUCAGUUAUAGUUUCUUUGAUAGUCCCUUACUACUUGGAUAACUGCGGUAAUUCUGGAGCUAAUACAUGCGCACAAGCCCCGACUCACGGAGGGGCGCUUUUAUUAGACUAAAACCAAACGGCCUCGGCCGUCCCACUGGUGAAUCUGAAUAACUUUGAGCGGAUCGCACGGCCUCGUGCCGGCGACGUGUCCUUCCAAGGUGUGCCCUAUCAACUGUCGACUGUGGCAUAGACGCCCACAGUGGUUUUGACGGGUAACGGGGAAUUAGGGUUCGAUUCCGGAGAGGGAGCCUGAGAAACGGCUACCACUUCUAAGGAAGGCAGCAGG